CAUGGGCGCGACGCUUUCAGACAGAAGACACACAGAAAGAGAAAAGCAGAAAGAGAAUAACAGUAGCAUCGAAUGCAGCGAGCCAGGAACCAUGGAUCUGAAAUUCGCUUCAUCAAGAAAAUACAUUUCCAUCAGUGUACCUUCCAAAUCUCAAACUAUGUCUCCUCAUAUCAAAUCAGUGGAUGAUGUCGUAGUUCUUGGCAUGAAUCUCAGCAGAUUUAACAAACCUACUCAAUUUUUCAUCUGUGUUUCUGGAGUUUUUAUGUUUUAUCUAAUCUAUGGAUAUUUACAGGAAUUGAUAUUUUCAGUGGAAGGUUUUAAACCUUUUGGUUGGUACCUCACUUUAGUGCAAUUUGGAUUUUAUUCCAUUUUUGGACUAAUAGAAUUGCAGUUGAUUCAGGACAAAAGGAGAAGAAUUCCUGGCAAAACCUACAUGAUUAUAGCGUUUUUGACAGUGGGAACUAUGGGUUUGUCAAAUACCUCUUUAGGAUAUCUGAAUUACCCUACUCAAGUCAUCUUCAAGUGCUGUAAACUCAUUCCAGUAAUGAUAGGCGGGGUUUUUAUACAAGGAAAACGUUAUAACAUUGUAGAUGUGUCUGCUGCCCUAUGUAUGAGUCUUGGAUUAAUAUGGUUUACUUUAGCUGACAGCACAGUUGCACCAAACUUCAACUUGACAGGUGUGGUCCUAAUAUCCCUUGCCCUCUGCGCAGAUGCAGUUAUAGGAAAUGUACAGGAAAAAGCUAUGAAGUUGCACAAUGGUUCUAAUUCAGAAAUGGUUUUGUAUUCCUAUUCAAUAGGUUUUGUGUAUAUUUUAUUUGGAUUAACAUGCACUAGUGGAUUAAGCCCUGCAGUAACAUUUUGCUCAAAGCAUCUAGUUCAGACUUACGGUUAUGCAUUCCUUUUCUCCCUGACUGGGUAUUUUGGCAUAUCCUUUGUUCUAGCUUUGAUUAAAAUCUUUGGUGCCCUUCUCGCUGUAACAGUAACAACAGGAAGAAAAGCAAUGACAAUUGUGCUUUCUUUUUUGUUCUUUGCAAAGCCAUUUACAUUACAGUACGUGUGGUCAGGCUUACUUGUUGUCCUUGGUAUAUUUCUUAAUGUUUACAGUAAGAAUAUGGAUAAAAUCAAACUGCCUUCACUGCAUGGUCUUUGGAAAAAAACUGUGGAAGAGAGAAAAACAAGGACGUUGUCACAAACUGUAUAGACAGCGGUUUAUGCCUUGUCUAGACUUUGACUUCCUAUUUUAUUGGAACAGUCUUCAACUGAUUCACUUUCCAAAGGGAACAUUAUUAAAACCAAAGGAGCUGAAGGCAUAUUGUCUCCUUACAGAUUGCUCUGCUGCAUGAUUGAUUGUGUCCUGGAUAAGGUAGAGAGGUGCGAAUUUGAUGAACAGAUACACCUUGAAAGAGAAGGAUGGCCUGCUGUGACCUUCCAUUUUCAUGUUACAGCCAAAGUUUUAUGGUAAGGUACGAUAAAGUUUUACAAUUUCAGAUUUGGUGUAAGAGUGCAUUUGACCAGGUCAAGUGGAUUGAUACACUUCUUUCUGCGUAAUAUUUAUGAACUCUUACAUUCCCUUGUAUUCUUUUCACGACAUGAAGUUGCUCUUUCCAGUGAGGGUAAGGUAAUUUUACAGUCUCAGUUCUGCCAUCUGUAAACUCUGUCGCUAAACUUUAUUGAACUUCAGGAAAACAAACUAUGUGAAAGCUACCAUACAUGCAGAAAGUCAUAGAAAAUAUAAUUCAUUUGGCAUCUGUUUUAUUUAAAUAGGUGAGAAGUCACAAAGUUUCUGACCAGAAAUCAAAUGCCAUAUGUAAGUUUCCAAGCAGUUUAUAUAAUCCAGUUUUGUCUCCAUUUUCUCUCCCUGGAGAACACAGCUUUCACAAUAAUUCACCUUUUAACUUAUUCUCCAUUGUAUACGAGAUUGAGUUAAUGAAGCUCACGUUAGGGGAAGUUUUGAUUUAUUUUUUUAUUAAUUUUCUUAACUGUAGAAAUGUAUGUUUUGUUUUACAGGUGUACUUUAAAAAUUAUUUUUAUACACAAAUGAAUAUUGUAAGUUUACUGUUAAUAGUCAAUUUAAGAGUCAGCUCUUUAUUUUCAUAGGUGUGAGUCUAGUACUUGCAAAUCAACAAUAUGUGUGAUAAAGAAAAUGCAGACACAAGUGAGAAUAGUUCAUAAUUUGCCACCUGUCAUGGUCUGUGCAGUUUCAUGCUUUUAUUAAGAAAACCUUCAUUUCAGUGAAAUGCUGUUUGUGGGGUUUUUUUAACAGGCUUCAUAGUGCAUGCAAGGAAGAGAACCUUACAAAACUACAAGUGUUCUUAUUACAAAAUUUUGGUUUAGACUCUUCUGUACUGUAUAUGUAUGUUGGUUUUGUGUCUGUGAAAUAUGAAUAAGGGCUUGUCCACAAAAUAACUGUUAAGUCUUUAUUUUUUGUGUAAGAGCAGUUAUAUUGAGGUGUUGUUUAACCCUUCCUGGUAACAAUAACUAUUCCAUUUUAUACUCAUUGGCUCUUGGACUCUUUACAGUAAGCAUGAUGAAACCACAGAAAAAUACAUUCAUUUCUCUUACCAGAAGAUUUAUUAAGUAAAUAUAAUGUGAAAUAGUUGCUGCUUAUUCUUAUGCUACACAACUUUCUCCUCUCUACAAAAAAAUGUACAAUGUAAAAAUUAGUUAUAAUGGCAUUGAAAUUCACAGUAAAAUUUAAGUCUGACCAGGGUCUCCAUUGAUGUCAGCAAUCUACCUCUGUGACACCCUCUACUUCUGCCUCUUUUCUUAAAUUAGCAUGCAUUUGCAGUUGCUUUCACAUUACAUUUUUGCAUUUAUUUAGCACACUUCAGUAACAAGGUAAUUGACUGUGCAGUAGAUUUCUUCAUUAUUUCUUCAUUCAGUAUGUCAGUAUCACUAGAACUGCUAAUUAUUCAGGUACCUGAAUACAUGUGUGAGAGGACUAAUGCCCUGAGCCUGCACCCCUGCUCCCCAAAACUACACCAUUUUCUGAUACUGCAUUAAACUGGUUUUUGUAAUCUUGUGUUAACACUCCUGUGCUUUGAACUUACCAGACAUUUUAAGUUAAACUUAGGCAUACAUCAUUCCUACUUGUCUUCCUUACUUCCUUGCUUGUCUUUCUUACUUUAACUCCCUUUUUAGCAUGCUGUGUUUAUGCACUGUGCAUUGUUUCAGGUUUAUAUCCCUGCAUUUAAGGGCUUGCAUCAUAUUAUUGCAGGUUGGUCACAUUCCAUACUUUCUAUUUCAUAUCAGUCAUAACCAUCUGGAUGAUUCUUUUAAAUCCUCUUUUCUCCAUGAAAAAAAUCUUUCCUUUCAUACAUUCCGUUAUUUUUGGAAAGGUCUUGAUGAGUACACGUAUGAGUUAACUCCUUGACCUCAUUCCAUCUUCCAAGAAAAUCUCUCUUCUCCCUUGCUUGCCUUUGAGUACUAAGGGAAGAGGAAAUAAAUUAUUGCAAGUGCUCUUUUUUUCUUUAAUAAGUGCCUUCCAUACUAACCUGGUGUGUCUUUAAUUGUUUCUUUUUUUUUUUCUGCCUCCCAUGCUCCCAGGCAGAAACAAGCCCUUGUCUCAUGUUUGACCGCUGCUUGUUCAGUCAUGGAAACUUUUUGAGUUGUUUACUGUUCUGAAAAGAGGUAUAAAAUUGCAUGUAUACUCUGGAGGGCAGGAAAUAAUAAGUAAACUUCACAAGUUAAGGAAGUAAUUAAAUGGAUUAAUACUUUUUUCUGGAGGGAUUUUAUAUAUGGUUUAGGUAAUAGCUCGGAAUUUGUUAGUGGAAGGGGUUUUUUUUUUCUUUUACAUUUUACCUACUUAAAAAUCUUUAUAUUAAUUUUAAUAUUUAAUAUAAAACUCCUGACUGUUCAGGCAGUUUAUAGAGAUUAAUUUCAGUCUUGCCUAUAAGGCAGAGAAGUCCUGUCUCCAUUUCACUGAUGUAGAAAUGGUAACUUGCCCAAAGUUGGCUUAGUAAGUCUGCAGUGAGCUAAGGUUUACACCCUCAGUUCUUCUAUGCCCCAAGUCCAACAGAGCUCUUCUGUACCUUAAACAAAGCAAUACCAAUGUAAGCUCAGUUUUCUUUCACUCCAGUUACAGAGAUGUUAAAUUGUUUCUGUUCCUUGUCCUAUACUAGCAUAAUUUAAAGGGAAAUUAAGACAGCCAUAAAAUAGAUUCCCUGCAUUUUGUUUGAUGCUUCUUUGCAUUGUUAUGUUCUUGUUGAUUUGUUCUAUUUUCUGUGAACACUACUGUGGAAGCAAAUCAGAGAGAUUAGCAGUUGUAGGAGAAGGGUAAUAUCCUUCACUUUAAGUUGACUGGUGCAUCUUGCUGCUGGUCAAAAGCUGCUGCCGUUGGAGCACUGUGAGGAACUGUCAUCACAUGAGGAAUUGAGCAUAAUGGUGUCAUGCCAGGUGUGUAUCUUUUCACCAUUCACUUGUAGAAAAGCAAAGACUAAUGAAAUAAAGAACAUUCAUGGACAAAUACCCAGAAUAUAAUGCUAACUUAACACAUUUCUACAUCUGGAUUCUGCUGGUUUGCUGGGGUUUUGAGGUUUGAUAGCAAUGUAUUGCUUCUCUACACUUUUGGUUAUUUAGAUGUUUUCUUUCCUAGAUUUCUCGAUUUUGUGCUUCCUUGUGUUUUUUUUCCCUUACUUGUAUUUUAAGUGUAAAGUUUUACCUUGUAAUUUGCAUUACACCAGUAGUGUUGUGUCCACUUCUGGGCUCCCCACCACAAGAAAUGGAUGGGGCUACAGGAAAGGGACAUGAAGAUGAUGAACUGGA